UAUCUACAUCGUACACGCGCACCCUCUCAUGGCAAAGAUAUCGCGCCACACAUUCUUCUAUCGAUUCAGAACCCAAAGAAAAACGCUUUUAGGAUUUAAGGCGAAACUUGAAGUGCCAGGGAAAGUUGCAGUUUGAAUGAUCGAAUCCCCAAUCACUGCCUAAGAUCAGGUGUGGUUGAAGGAAAAGGGACAACAGUGGAAAUUGAAGUUGAAGACGGAAAAAUGCAGAGUGAUGGAGAUAAAAAAGAGGACAUGGACAGGCUCAGUGACAUGCCUAACUUUGUCUUACUUCAUAUAAUGAAAUUUAUGAGCAUGAAACAGGCUGUUCAGACUUGUGUCCUGUCUUCAAGAUGGAAGGAACAUUGGAAACACCUAACUGAUUUGGCUUUGAAUUCCUCAGAUUUUACCAAUCUUACACAUUUCAGCAAAUUUGUUUCUUGGGUUAUUUCGAAUCGAGACAACUCUAUUUCACUGCAUAGUCUAGAUUUGAGGCGUAAAGGCUGCAUUGAUCAUGAACUUCUGGAUAGGAUUAUGGGGUAUGCUGUGUCACACGAUGUCCAGCAGUUGACAAUUGAAGUUAAUUUAAGUGUUAUACUUGGUUUUAGGUUGCACCCUUGUGUCUUUUCUUGUAAAACAUUGACAUAUCUCAAGCUUUCGAUUUGGGCUGUACCUUGGAUGACCCAACUUCCGAGUUCCUUGCAUUUGCCAGCAUUGAAAAGCUUGCAUCUUGAGCACGUCACUUUUACUGCAAGUGAAAGUGAUUAUGCUGAGCCCUUUUCAACUUGUCACAUGUUAGAUACUUUGGUUCUUGAUCGUUUUAACUUGCACCAAGGUGUGAAAUUCCUCUGUAUAUGUAAUUCCAACCUUUCUAGUUUGACCAUUGGUAGUACCAUUCAAGAAGCGCCUUACAAAUUUGUGCUUUCUACUCCAAACCUUAGAUAUCUUACUGUGAUGCGUGAUCCUCUUUACCAACUCUCUGCAUGCAAACUUUGUUUUCUUGAACAAGUAAGCAUUGACUGUGAAGCCUAUUUUCAUACUCAUUUUGAACGGACUUAUUCAGCCCUUAUAAGUCUGCUGCAAGUGCUUGCUGAUUAUGUAAAGAUAAUGAUACUCUCUUCAAGUACCCUUAAGAUUCUACAUGGUCUCUCAACUUCUGGUUCAAUGAUAACUCAAAUUCCUUGUUUUGUUCAAUUGAAGUCAUUGAAAUUGAAAGUGAAAUCUUCGACAAACAUAUCCGAUGAUGGAGUUGGCAGGAUAGUAGAAUACUUACUUCAAAAAUCCCCUUUUGCCAAAGUGGAUAUUAUAAAUUGCUGAGUGAUAUCCAUGCACACUUAAAUCUUCAGGACAAGAACUCCUUGAAGAUGAUUGGUAUAUUCUGGAUGAUCUUUACACACUGAGAGUGCCUUCUUACCAUACUUUCCCACAUACUCAGACCCCUUACUGUAUCACAACUGUUAGUUUAGCCUCUAUUGUGAUAUCCAAAUAUCUUAGUAAGGACAACACAGACUUUGACCAUCAUAAUUGAAGUGGCUGUAUCCAGGCAUCUAUGAUAUCUUCUAUAGCUCAAGCUAUUAGAGUGCUAUUGUUAAGGUUUAUUAGCUAUUGGAUCUUUGGAUGAAAGGAUAUGUUAAUGAUAAUAUUAAUACACAUUAAUAGUCCAAUUGCAAUUCCUGCUCCUCUUUUUCCUUUUGAAUGUAAAUAGAUGAGCCAAGGUUCUGUGUAUCAUGCCUCUACCAAUGUUUGGAUGUAACUGAAUUACUAGACUUUGGUGUUGUUUGAACUCUUGUCAAUUUUAUAAUGAUGAGUAUGUUUACCAUGUCUUAUCAAUUCCUGAGGAACUUUGUAAAAGUAGGUGAGGACUUUGUUUAUAAUGUUAUAUCAAUUGCUGA